rnacentral:rRNA from 1 species
UCCAUGAGUAAAGUGGCGCACGGGUGAGUAACACGUGACUAACCUACCCUUGAGUGGGGAAUAACCUAGAGAAAUCUGGGCUAAUACCGCAUAACACCUACGGGUCAAAGGAGCAAUUCGCUUAAGGAGGGGGUCGCGGCAGAUUAGCUAGUUGGCGGGGUAAUGGCCCACCAAGGCGGUGAUCUGUAUCCGGCCUGAGAGGGCGCACGGACACACUGGAACUGAAACACGGUCCAGACUCCUACGGGAGGCAGCAGUGGGGAAUUUUGCGCAAUGGGGGAAACCCUGACGCAGCAACGCCGCGUGGAGGAUGAAGUCCCUUGGGACGUAAACUCCUUUCGAUCGGGACGAUUAUGACGGUACCGAGAGAAGAAGCCCCGGCUAACUUCGUGCCAGCAGCCGCGGUAAUACGAGGGGGGCGAGCGUUGUUCGGAAUUAUUGGGCGUAAAGGGUGCGUAGGCGGUUCGGUAAGUCUUAUGUGAAAUCUUCGGGCUCAACUCGAAGUCUGCAUGAGAAACUGCCGGGCUUGAGUGUGGGAGAGGUGAGUGGAAUUUCCGGUGUAGCGGUGAAAUGCGUAGAUAUCGGAAGGAACACCUGUGGCGAAAGCGGCUCACUGGACCACAACUGACGCUGAUGC